GUAUGGGGGAAUUUUGGGAUAGCAUUUGAAAUGUAAAUGAAGAAAAUACCUAAUAAAAAUAUAUAUGGAAAAAAAAGAAUUGUUUUUCUACCCUGAGCCUGAGCUGCUCGUCCAUUCUUUCUUGCUAAUGGAACCUUAGCUGACUGGGAGCAGCAGUAUAGCACUGUAUUUCCUACAGUCUUUCUGGGGCUAGAGCAGCGGCUCUCUACCUUCCCAGUGCUGUGACCCUUUAAUGCAGUUCCUUCAUAACUGUAAUUCUGCUACUGUAAUGAACUGUAAUAUAAACAUCUGAUAUGCAGGAUAUCUGAUCUAUUACCCCAAAGGGAUCAAGACCCAAGGGUCGAUUAUCUCUGGGCAGAACCCUGGUGUAGUGAUUAAGAGCACUGAUUUUGCAGAGGACCCAAGUUUGGUUUAUAGCACCCACAUUGGGUGACUCACAACUGUCUCUAACUCCAGCUUCAGGGGGUCUGAUGCCCUCUUCUGGCUUCUUUGAGUAUAUAUAUACACACACACACACACACACAGAGAGAGAGAGAGAGAGAGAGAGAGAGAGAGAGAGAGAGUAAAAUCACAAGGUGUGAUGGCAUACACCUUAAAUAAAAUCCCAGCACUUAGGAGACAGAGACAGGCACAUCUGAGUUCCAGGCCAGCUCAGGCUACAUAGUGAGAUUCUGUCUCAAAUAAACAAAUAAAAUCCUUUAUGGUCAUGUGACAUAAUUUGGCCAGUGGUUGUUGUUUCUCUGAGAUACCUAUUAACAUGGCUGGCUUAGCUGGCCAGUAUCUUUGUUUGUUUGUUUGUUUGUUUGUUUGUUUGUUUGUUUUAAUUCUAUUAAGGGGGUAUAAUAUUUUUCAAGGUACUAUAAUUCCAGAGUUAUGUGUGGCAUGUGGGUCAAGCAAGCUCCUAUUCUCCCUUCCUGCUCCAAAAAUCCUCCUAAACGAUUGUCCUCAGAUAGAGAAUGCCUCAGGUAUCUGGUAAAAACAGGUACUUUAGCUGGUCUCAUCCAGAAGGCCAAGAAGCAGUGGCCGAUGUCUUCUUCAUGUCUAGUUUCUUCUCUUUUGUAGCUAGGAAAGGAGUGAAGGCGGGAGCACAGACGAGAGGCACAGACAAAACGUAGCUGAGGCUCAGAUAGAGAUCCUGUCCCUUUCGAGGCUCAUCCUAUCACCUUGGAUGCCGGCCCUCAUUAUGUGAGCAAAAUAAGCUCUCUAAUUUUUAACAGUUUUCUGAGAUCUAAUUACAUGCCACACCACUGGCCUGCUUUAGUGGCACAAGUCAGUGAUUUCAGUAAAUGUAUAGGGCUACCCAGACACCCUAGAACCCAAACUUAAGACAUUUCUUUCACCCUUAGGUAAUACUUCUGUGUGCAUGUCCUCCCAGAGUGUCACUGUCGUGUCAAUUUCCUACUGAUAUAUUUGAAGCCUAUUUUUAAUUUUGCUGAAAUCUUAUUUCCGUCUCAAAAUUCUCUCGAGUUGAUCAUGCUUUUUGAUGUUGUUUAACAAUUCUUUGUCUAACCCAAGCUUGUAAAUCUCUUGUGUGUUUUCUUCUUCAUUUUUAAAAGCCCACCUUAUGUUCUGAUUCAUUUUUAGUUCAUUUUAGAAUACUUUGGCAAUUUCUUAAAGUAAAUUUAACAAAUUUUUCACAUGGUCUCCAGUUCCUCUCCUGAAAGUUUAUCCUUUAAGUCCUGUUUAUCUUGGUUUGAUUUGGUUUGGUUUGCUUUUUGCCUUCAGCUAUCCAGUUGGCCCACACCUCUGUCAGAGCAACUGUCAGUCCUGUCCUAUUAUCUUGGUACAUUUGCCGAAAGCCAGUGCACUGUGAUUGCAAAGCUUUGCUUGCGGACUCUCAGUUCUACUGCAUUGAUUUAUAUGUCUUCCCCAUGCUGCACCACGCUAUCUUAAGUAAGGCGGCCUAAUGGUAAGUUUUAAAAUGAGAAGUGUAGGUUUCUUUCUCUCUGCCUUUCAGGGUUGUGUUUUUUUUUUGUUUUGUUUUUUUUUUUUUUUUUUUGAGCUUUCAUGCUUUCAUUUGUAUUUUAGAAUCAGUUCAUCAAUUUUUGCCCAAAAGACUUGGAAUUUUUAAGACCUUUGUUGAGUUCACAGAUCUAUUUGAUGAGAAUUUAUCUCUUAGUAAUAUUGAAUCUUCUACCUUACUUCUUCAUAAAUAGUUAUAAAUAUCAAUUUCUAUAACUAUAUUAUAUAGUACAAUAUAUACUAAUAUAUUAUAUAUCCUCUAUAAUAUUCUAUAUAUUUAUAUAGAUUAUACAAUAUAUACUACUAAUAAAAUAAUAGUAUAUAGUAUAUACUAAUAAAAUAAUAUAUAGUAUAAUAUACACUAAUAAUAUAAAUAUCUGUAAGUAUUUAGAAAUAUCUAUUUAUCACAGAUCAGCCCAGUAUUUCCCCCCUUGAAUGGGUAUGCAUUUACUAUCUAACAUUGUGAAACACUAGUUUUAGCUUUUUCCUUUUCAACAGCAUUUUGAGUUUCGUUGCUGUGAUAAACACCAUAGCAAAAGCAACCUGGGAGGAAAGCAUUUCUGUCAUCCUACAAUGAGCAGUUGGUUUGUUAUGAAGGGAAGUCAGAACAAGGGACCUGGAGGCAGGAACAGAGCAGAGGCCGUGGAGAACUACUGCGGAGUGGCUUGCUCUCUCUCCAAAGCAUCCUUAGCUUGCCCAGGAGUGGCACCACAGUGGGACAGGACCUCCCACAUCAAUCAUUCAUUAAUCAAGAAAAGAAGAAACUGCCCCACAGACCUGUCUGAUGAAAGCAUUUUCUCAGUUGAAAUUCUCUCUUUCCAGAUGACCCUAGCCAGCAUGUGUUAAGUUGAC
rnacentral:lncRNA from 1 species